UUCAAGUUCAACGCAGCGUCCGCAGCU
rnacentral:piRNA from 1 species